CCUACGGGAGGCAGCAGUGAGGAAUAUUGGACAAUGGGCGCGAGCCUGAACCAGCCAAGUAGCGUGAAGGAUGACUGCCCUACGGGUUGUAAACUUCUUUUAUAAAGGAAUAAAGAGAGGCACGAGUGCCUUUUUGUAUGUACUUUAUGAAUAAGGAACGGCUACCUCAGUGCCAGCAGCCGCGGUAAUACGGAGGAUCCGAGCGUUAUCUGGAUUUAUUGGGUUUAAAGGGAGCGUAGAUGGGUUGUUAAGUCAGUUGUGAAAGUUUGGGGCUCAACCGUAAAAUUGCAAUUGAUACUGGCAGCCUUGAGUACAGUUGAGGUAGGCGGAAUUCGUGGUGUAGCGGUGAAAUGCUUAGAUA
rnacentral:rRNA from 1 species